CCUCUUUCUUCAUGAUUUUUCUUCUUCAUUUAUCAAAAUCCCACACUACCUCUUCACUAAACAGCUGUCACUGCCACCACCAGUGUCCAUCGUACCCAGCCCUCACCCUCGCCUUGGUCUCUUUCACGGUCUGCUCGUCACCACUAAGUCGAAACCCUCGUCUCUUUCAUGUUCGACUCUUCACCAACAUCAAAACCCUCAACUCUUUCACAUUGUGUUCGCCACCAUCGUCGAAAACCUUCAUUCAUGUUGGUGACCAGCUUUCACCACCACUGUACACAGCUCGUUCGUACCUAUCUCUCACCACCAUCGUUGGAAAUAUUUUCCUCUUCGGUGAAGUGUGUUAGUGAGAUACCCAGAUUCAAUCUUUCAAUUGCAAGGAAGAAAUCGCUUGAGAGAUUCUUAGAGAAGCCUAAGGAGAGAUAAUGAUCAUACUCCUUGAAAAUUAAAUUCAUACUUUUAUUUAUUUGUUUAUCCUUUUCUUGUAUUUAUCUUUGAAAUUUCAAACAAUUUUUUUUGGGUCUGUGUAUCCAAAAAAAAAAAAUGGAUGGAUGCUUUUGAUUUGUAAUUAUUGAAUUGAUUUGUGCUUAUGUACAAAAUCUUGGAACAUAUAUAUAUAUAUUUAGAUAUUUCAAUUGAUUA